CACGUAGGGUGCGAGCGUUGUCCGGAAUUAUUGGGCGUAAAGAGCUCGUAGGCGGUGUGUCGCGUCGGCCGUGAAAACCUGCAGCUUAACUGUGGGCUUGCGGUCGAUACGGGCAUCACUGGAGUUCGGCAGGGGAGACUGGAAUUCCUGGUGUAGCGGUGAAAUGCGCAGAUAUCAGGAGGAACACCGGUGGCGAAGGCGGGUCUCUGGGCCGAUACUGACGCUGAGGAGCGAAAGCGUGGGGAGC
rnacentral:rRNA from 1 species